rnacentral:rRNA from 1 species
GACGAACGCUGGCGGCGUGCUUAACACGUGCAAGUCGAACGGAAAGGCCCUGCUUUUUUGGGGUGCUCGUGUGGCGAACUUUUGUGUAACACGUUUGUAACCUGCCCUUUACUUUUUGAUAACUUCAGGUAACUGGGGCUAAUACCGGAUAUGAGCUCCUGCUUCAUGGUUUUUGUUGUUUAUUUUCGGCUGUUGGGGAUGGACUCGCGGAUUAUCAGCUUGUUGGUGGGGUAGUGGCUUACCAAGGCUUUGACGGGUAGCCGGCCUGAGAGGGUGACCGGCAAAAUUGGGAAUGAGAUACGGCACAGAAUCAUAAGGGAGGCAGCAGUGGGGAAUAUUGCACAAGGGGCGGAAGACUGAUGCAGCAAAGCGGCGUGCGGGAUGAAGGCCGUCGGGUUGUAAACCGAAUAAGAAGGUGACGAAGCGUGAGUGACGGUAAUGGGUAAAGAAGCACCGGCUAACUACGUG